rnacentral:rRNA from 1 species
GAUGAACGCUGGCGGCGUGCCUAAUACAUGCAAGUCGAGCGAACAGACGAGGCGCUUGCUCCUCUGACGUUAGCGGCGGACGGGUGAGUAACACGUGGAUAACCUACCUAUAAGACUGGGAUAACUUCGGGAAACCGGCGCUAAUACCGGAUAAUAUAUUGAACCGCAUGGUUCAAUAGUGAAAGACGGUUUUGCUGUCACUUAUAGAUGGAUACGCGCCGCAUUAGCUAGUUGGUAAGGUAACGGCUUACCAAGGCAACGAUGCGUAGCCGACCUGAUAGGGUGAUCGGCCACACUGGAACUGAGACACGGUCCAGACUCCUACGGGAGGCAGCAGUAGGGAAUCUUCCGCAAUGGGCGAAAGCCUGACGGAGCAACGCCGCGUGAGUGAUGAAGGUCUUCGGAUCGUAAAACUCUGUUAUGAGGGAAGAACAAAUGUGUAAGUAACUAUGCACGUCUUGACGGUACCUAAUCAGAAAGCCACGGCUAACUACGUG